GUAACGGCGAGUGAAGCGGCAACAGCUCAAAUUUGAAAUCUGGCCCUAGCGGUCCGAAUUGUAAUUUGUAGAGGAUGCUUUUGGUGCGGUGCCUUCCGAGUUCCCUGGAACGGGACGCCAGAGAGGGUGAGAGCCCCGUACGGUUGGACACCUACCCUAUAUAUAGCUCCUUCGACGAGUCGAGUAGUUUGGGAAUGCUGCUCUAAAUGGGAGGUAAAUUUCUUCUAAAGCUAAAUACCGGCCAGAGACCGAUAGCGCACAAGUAGAGUGAUCGAAAGAUGAAAAGCACUUUGAAAAGAGGGUUAAAUAGCACGUGAAAUUGUUGAAAGGGAAGCGUUUACGACCAGACCUCUUCCAGGCGGAUCAUCCGGUGUUCUCACCGGUGCACUUCGUCUGGUUUAGGCCAGCAUCGGUUUUCGUAGGGGGAUAAAGACCUGGGGAACGUAUCUCCUUCGGGAGUGUUAUAGCCCCUCGUGUAAUACCUCUACGGGGACCGAGGACCGCGCACUGCAAGGAUGCUGGCGUAAUGGUCGUCAACGACCCGUCUUGAAACACGGACCAAGGAGUCGAACAUUUGUGCGAGUGUUUGGGUAUUAAACCCUCACGCGUAAUGAAAGUGAACGGAGGUGAGAGCCCUUCGGGGUGCAUCAUCGACCGAUCCUGAUGUCUUCGGAUGGAUUUGAGUAAGAGCAUAACUGUUCGGACCCGAAAGAUGGUGAACUAUGCGUGGAUAGGGUGAAGCCAGAGGAAACUCUGGUGGANGCUCGCAGCGGUUCUGACGUGCAAAUCGAUCGUCAAAUCUGCGCAUGGGGGCGAAAGUAUGUAUUAUCCCGGGGUGUAUACCCUAUAAUUCUCCCCUGGAGACAAUAAACAGUAUGCUAACAACAACUUCUUUAGGACUUAUCGAACCAUCUAGUAGCUGGUUACCGCCGAAGUUUCCCUCAGGAUAGCAGUGUUGUGUUCAGUUUUAUGAGGUAAAGCGAAUGAUUAGGGACUCGGGGGCGCUUUAUUGCCUUCAUCCAUUCUCAAACUUUAAAUAUGUAAGAAGCCCUUGUUACUUAAUUGAACGUGGGCAUUCGAAUGUAUCAACACUAGUGGGCCAUUUUUGGUAAGCAGAACUGGCGAUGCGGGAUGAACCGAACGUGGGGUUAAGGUGCCAGAGUGGACGCUCAUCAGACACCACAAAAGGUGUUAGUACAUCUAGACAGUUGGUAUGUACUAAUCUUUUCUUUUACCCCCUGACGGUCCUGAGGGUUUUGAGGGGAUGGUCAGAUGCAAACUCUUAAAGGCAAUAGUCGCUAUAAGUUUAAAAGCUGGGGGAUGAUGUGUUGUUAUCUCUCACUGCGUUUAUUACUUGUACUUCUCUGUCUGGCGGUGUUAUAAGUUUGAGGGUUGGUAGCCCUAAGGGGCUACCCUACAAAAGAUUCAAAACCUUGUGUACACGCAGGGAGCUUUGGCAUCACGGACCCCACACUUAUAGCUUGUUGUCGAAGAGUUUGCAUCGUGCCUUUAGGCACCUUGUGGCCUGAACUGAAGGAUCAAUGGACCUAAAGGUCUCUGUAUUUUAACGAAACAAAUCACUAAUAACUUAAAUAGGACGGUGGCCAUGGAAGUCGGAAUCCGCUAAGGACUGUGUAACAACUCACCAACCGAAUGUACUAGCCCUGAAAAUGGAUGGCGCUCAAGCGUCUCACCCAUACCUCACCCUUAGGGUAGAAACGAUGCCCUAAGGAGUAGGCGGCCGUAGGGGUCAGUGACGAAGC
rnacentral:rRNA from 1 species